GGGGAGGGCAGGGGCUGAGGUGGGGUGGGUGGAGAGCAAACCCUGGGAGAAUGGAGGACGGCUGCUGAGAGAACUGCUUCAGGGAACAGGGAUGAAGACAACACUCGUGGAAAGAAUGGAGAUAGGAGGAGAAAAGACCUGCUUCUCUGCUGGAGGACUUUCAGGGCUAAGCACUAAACAUCUGACCAAGGAGUUGCAAAUACAAAUCACAUGACCUGAGUGCUGGACCACUGAAACAGAUCACUGCCUCCCUCCACACCCCACUUCUGGUGUGGCAGAUCUGGAAUGGGCCUGGAACUUUGCAUAUCUAAUUCAUUCCCAGGUGGCUUAAAAGAUGCUCUCGAAAGGCGCUUACUCAGAGGACCGCUGACAUCCAAGCAAGCAGCAGUAACUACUUAGGGAAGCUCUGAGGACUGAGAAGGCACAACGUUUCAGGGGAUGGAGCCAGAGCCCCAGGCUACAACAGAGGAAAAAUGAAGAUGAAGUGGGUUCUAGAACUACUCAAACUGAACUGGUACUGAGGGGAGGAGGGGCAGGGUUGAACAGCCUUGGGAAGCCGGGAGUUGAAAAAAUGGCCAGAGGGUGAAUAAUACAUUAGGACAGAUAGGGGCUGGAGCAAAUCUCAUCUGACUCAAAGUAUAAAUGGAUGGAUUGGCAGGGAGAGAAAAGGGGACAGAAUCACAGUGAAACUCAGGGUGUUUGCGAAAGCAGAAGAAAGAAGUUCCAGAACAGAGAAGAGGAGACAAAAAAUAAACCCCAGCCUUUCCCGAAGCAGUGUUCUUAAUGAAGCUCAGGGUUCGGAUGUGAGGGAUUUGGAACUGGGCUGAGGAGUGGGUUUUUCAUUUUCUCCUUUAGAAUCUGCUAUUUAGGCUGAGCAUGGUGCUGCACACCUGUAAUCCCAGCACCCAAGAAACUGGCAGGAAGAUUACCUGGUCUAAAAUCUAAAUAAAUAAAAAAUCCUCCACUUGAGGCAUAAUUAUUCAGACUCCUUUCCCCUCCCUCACCACCCCCGUCCCUAAAUCUAAGCUCCAUCUUAGCUAUUCCCUCGCCUCGAUCCUGUGCUCUUCUCAACAUGCCAAGAGGUUGCCCCACGCUCAAGCUGACAC